rnacentral:rRNA from 1 species
GAUCAUGGCUCAGGUUGAACGCUGGCGGCAUGCUUUACACAUGCAAGUCGAACGGCAGCACAGGGAGCUUGCUCCCGGGUGGCGAGUGGCGCACGGGUGAGUAAUACAUCGGAACGUGUCCUGUUGUGGGGGAUAACUGCUCGAAAGGGUGGCCAAUACCGCAUGAGACCUGAGGGUGAAAGCGGGGGAUCGCAAGACCUCGCGCAAUUGGGGCGGCCGAUGCCCGAUUAG